AGAGUUUGAUUCUGGCUCAGGAUGAACGCUAGCGACAGGCUUAACACAUGCAAGUCGAGGGGCAGCGGGGGCGUAGCAAUAUGCCUGCCGGCGACCGGCGCACGGGUGAGUAACACGUAUGUAACCUGCCCUAUGCAGGGGGAUAACCCGGAGAAAUCCGGCCUAAUACCGCGUAAUACCUUAGGGGAGCAUUCUCUUGAGGUUAAAGGAGAGAUCCGGCAUAGGAUGGACAUGCGUCGCAUUAGGUAGACGGCGGGGUAACGGCCCACCGUGCCGACGAUGCGUAGGGGUUCUGAGAGGAAGGCCCCCCACACUGGUACUGAGACACGGACCAGACUCCUACGGGAGGCAGCAGUGAGGAAUAUUGGUCAAUGGCCGAGAGGCUGAACCAGCCAAGUCGCGUGAGGGAAGAAUGUCCUAAGGAUUGUAAACCUCUUUUGUCGGGGAGCAAAAAGGCUCUGCGGAGUCGUAUUGAGAGUACCCGAAGAAAAAGCAUCGGCUAACUCCGUGCCAGCAGCCGCGGUAAUACGGAGGAUGCGAGCGUUAUCCGGAUUUAUUGGGUUUAAAGGGUGCGC
rnacentral:rRNA from 1 species